rnacentral:rRNA from 1 species
GAUGAACGCUGGCGGCGUGCCUAAUACAUGCCAGUCGAGCGAACGGACGAGAAGCUUGCUUCUCUGAUGUUAGCGGCGGACGGGUGAGUAACACGUGGAUAACCUACCUAUAAGACUGGGAUAACUUCGGGAAACCGGAGCUAAUACCGGAUGAUAUUUUGAACCGCAUGGUUCAAAAGUGAAAGACGGUCUUGCUGUCACUUAUAGAUGGUUCCGCGCUGCAUUAGCUAGUUGGUAAGGUAACGGCUUACCAAGGCAACGAUGCAUAGCCGACCUGAGAGGGUGAUCGGCCACACUGGACCGGAAACACGGUCCAGACUACUACGGGAGGCAGCAGUAGGGAAUCUUCCGCAAUGGGCGAAAGCCUGACGGAGCAACGCCGCGUGAGUGAUGAAGGUCUUCGGAUCGUAAAACUCUGUUAUUAGGGAAGAACAUAUGUGUAAGUAACUGUGCACAUCUUGACGGUACCUAAUCAGAAAGCCACGGCUAACUACGUG